rnacentral:rRNA from 1 species
CGCGGCAAGACGGAAAGACCCCGUGAACCUUUACUAUAGCUUGACACUGAACAUUGAGCCUUGAUGUGUAGGAUAGGUGGGAGGCUUUGAAGUGUGGACGCCAGUCUGCAUGGAGCCGACCUUGAAAUACCACCCUUUAAUGUUUGAUGUUCUAACGUGGACCCGUAAUCCGGGUUGCGGACAGUGUCUGGUGGGUAGUUUGACUGGGGCGGUCUCCUCCUAAAGAGUAACGGAGGAGCACGAAGGUUGGCUAAUCCUGGUCGGACAUCAGGAGGUUAGUGCAAUGGCAUAAGCCAGCUUGACUGCGAGCGUGACGGCGCGAGCAGGUGCGAAAGCAGGUCAUAGUGAUCCGGUGGUUCUGAAUGGAAGGGCCAUCGCUCAACGGAUAAAAGGUACUCCGGGGAUAACAGGCUGAUACCGCCCAAGAGUUCAUAUCGACGGCGGUGUUUGGCACCUCGAUGUCGGCUCAUCACAUCCUGGGGCUGAAGUAGGUCCCAAGGGUAUGGCUGUUCGCCAUUUAAAGUGGUACGCGAGCUGGGUUUAGAACGUCGUGAGACAGUUCGGUCCCUAUCUGCCGUGGGCGCUGGAGAACUGAGGGGGGCUGCUCCUAGUACGAGAGGACCGGAGUGGACGCAUCACUGGUGUUCGGGUUGUCAUGCCAAUGGCACUGCCCGGUAGCUAAAUGCGGAAGAGAUAAGUGCUGAAAGCAUCUAAGCACGAAACUUGCCCCGAGAUGAGUUCUCCCUGAGA